GAUGAACGCUGGCGGCGUGCCUAAUACAUGCAAGUCGAGCGAACGGACGAGAAGCUUGCUUCUCUGAUGUUAGCGGCGGACGGGUGAGUAACACGUGGAUAACGUACCUAUAAGACUGGGAUAACUUCGGGAAACCGGAGCUAAUACCGGAUAAUAUUUUGAACCGCAUGGUUCAAAAGUGAAGGACGGUCUUGCUGUCACUUAUAGAUGGAUCCGCGCUGCAUUAGCUAGUUGGUAAGGUAACGGCUUACCAAGGCAACGAUGCAUAGCCGACCUGAGAGGGUGAUCGGCCACACUGGAACUGAGACACGGUCCAGACUCCUACGGGAGGCAGCAGUAGGGAAUCUUCCGCAAUGGGCGAAAGCCUGACGGAGCAACGCCGCGUGAGUGAUGAAGGUCUUCGGAUCGUAAAACUCUGUUAUUAGGGAAGAACAUAUGUGUAAGUAACUGUGCACAUCUUGACGGUACCUAAUCAGAAAGCCACGGCUAACUACGUG
rnacentral:rRNA from 1 species